CCUGCUCAUGAAAUUUAAUAGCCGCAUUAUUGUGCUAAGGUAGCAUAAUAAUUUGUUCUUUAAUUAAGAAAUAGAAUGAAAGGAUACACGUUUAAUAAACUUUAUUUUAUAUAAACUAUCUAAAUUUUAAUAAAAAUAAAAAUAUUUUUAUUUCAAAGAAAGACGACAAGACCCUAAUGAACUUUUCUUAAAGAUUAACUGGGGAAGUUAUUUAAUUAAAUUUUAAAAUAAAUAUUUUUAUAAAAGCUUAUCAGAAUAUAAAUUAGUUACCAUAGGGAUAACAGCACAAUUUAAAUUUAAAGAACUUAUUUAAAUUUAAGAUUAUGACCUCGAUGUUGAAUUAAUAAUACUAUUAUAAGUAUAAAUAUAAUAAGUAAGUCUGUUCGACUUUUAAUAUAUUACAU
rnacentral:rRNA from 1 species